UACGUAGGAGACGAGCGUUGUCCGGAAUUACUGGGCGUAAAGCGCGUGUAGGCGGAUGAGCAAGUCUGCUGUGAAAGCUCCUGGCUUAACCGGGAGUGGUCGGUGGAAACUGCUCGUCUGGAGGACGGUAGAGGUAGGUAGAAUUCCCGGUGUAGUGGUGAAAUGCGUAGAGAUCGGGAGGAACACCAGUGGCGAAGGCGACUUCCUGGCCUGUUCUUGACGCUGAGGCGCGAAAGCGUGGGGAGCGAACAGG
rnacentral:rRNA from 1 species